GGUAGCUCAGUGGUAGAGCACUUGCCUUGCAUGCUCGAGGCCCUGGGUUCGAUUCCUCAGUACCA
rnacentral:tRNA from 1 species